UCUAAUUACCAAUGAUUUAAAUUGUUACUGUAGUGGAAUACAGUUACUUAUAUCUUGUAUUUUAAAUGCGUAAUCCCGUUACAUGUAUUCCGUUACUCCCCAACUGUGCGACUGGUUCACAAAUCGUAUGCCCAAAGCAGAGCGUUUUAGCCGAAACAGCUCGUGAGUCUGAGCUCCACCCCGUUAAGCUAACUUUCUACAGAAUCCCUCAACAUUUCAAGUGAAUAGGCAUCUAAAGUCAGAUUAUCAGAUUAAUCAGCCAAUCAGAUUGAUUUAUUAGUUCUAGGUGGGUGUGGUCUUUAGGAUAUGUCCCAGAGGCCUUCUAGCUGGUCUUGAGUGACGCAAUCACGCUUUAAGUGAUGUACAUAAUUUGAAAGCGAAGAGCACAGGAUCUAGAUGACGAGUCGGCUGUCAUCACUGCCGCUAUCGCCAUUGAGAAAGAAAUCCUUAUGGAUUUAAAAACCCGAGAUGUAAACAGGAAAGGAGGGCUGAUUUUCACUUCAAGUAAAUUGGUAAGUGCUUUUUGUAUUGUUAUAGCAACAUCAGGAGUUUUCUAAGCGUAAAUUAGACUGGCUGGAGCAUUCAUUGUCAGUUUAAGUUUUGAAAAGUAACUGUGUACCCUUAUGAAACAAAAAUUAUUGCAUGCAACAUUUAGAUCGCAAAUAUUAUUAGAUAGCUUUUUCCUGGUAUUAGACCUUCUUGGUUUUGGCUUUCAUGCAUGGACGUGUUUUAAAAAUGUAAAUGAGAUGGUUGGUGGAGUUCAGGGCACCCACUUGUCCAGUCUUAUGGAUUACUUUUAUGCCGACUUUGUCUACUUUUUAUAGAGCUGAAAUGUUCUUCUAAAAAUCUUCAUUUGUGUUCAGCAGAAGAAAGAAAGUGAUUCACAUCUGGGAUGGCAUGAGGGGAGCACAGUUUCUCUGGCAGUAACAAACAUCAUGGAAUACACAUGGAAAGAGCCACCUACCCUCUGGUCUGUACUGGGCAAUGAUGGUCACUGUCUGUCCAGCCCUUUUCAGUGCAGCAGCAGCUUGCUCAUGUGUGGCAUUGCAGGAAUGAAAUGGCAGAAGAGGUUGGAUGUGUUGGAUAAAUAUAAAAAAGACUAAACUGUGUAUUGCACAUAGUUAUUGCUCAAUGGGGCAAUUUAACUGUUCAUGAGAUGGAUAGCCUGAGGGAAAAAACUGUUCCUGUGCCAGAGCUCUGAAGCGUCGGCCAGAAGGCAACAGUUCAAAAAGUGUCUGGUAUAGGUACUGACCGAUAGGAUGCGGUCUCCUCUCCUCAGCUCGCCGCUCAGGUCGGCUGGCCCACCUGCCAAGAUGAAAGAUACGAAGAUGCCCUCUCCAUCCUCCCCACCUACAAUGUUGAAACCC